rnacentral:lncRNA from 1 species
CAGUACAUGACUUUCUCUUCCUAAUAGCACCUCUGUUUCCUUUGGGAGACUUACUCUUCUUCCCUGUGUGUCAUCUCGGGAGGCCAGUAAUUGAGCUGCCCUCUCCUCUUGCUAAGGAAGCUGAGAGGGCUUUGAAAGCUCCUUGCGAUAGACCCCUGCUCACUGUUGGAGCAAAGAGAAAAACAUGUCAUCUUAUCUGAGCUGAUUGAAUCUCUUGUCCACAAUUUGGAUCCUCAGUAGAGAUCCCCUGUUGAAGGAACAACAGGAGGAGAAUCAAUCCUCUAGGAAUGGCUAGGAGACAAUGCUCCAGAAGAAGCCUCCUAAUUGUGCUUUGUGAAAAUGUUAAUAAUGAAACUCUCUUUGGGUGGAAAGAACUUUAGAAGAACUCACGAAGACCCUGAAACCUGUCGGCAGAUGUUUCCAAGGCUUUUGUCUCCAUCCUACUCCAAUCUCCCAAUUUAUCCCCCUCCCUUUGAGAUUUCAUUUUAUAGGAGUAUAGCUCUAACUUUGUAUCUAAUUUUUACUCAAUUAUACUGGAUUAUAGUUUCUUUUUAGUUUACCUUGUUAUGAUUAAAUAUAUUCAAUUUGUGGUGUUUUUUUGGAAAAGGUUUUGACUAAAGAUAAGGAGGAGAAAUUCCUUAAAAAUUAAAUAUGUGAAACAGUUAUUAUAACUGGGAUGUAUCCAUCUGUAAACAAAACCCCCCAAAAUAAACAAAAACUGAAUGACUGGG